rnacentral:rRNA from 1 species
AGAUGGCGGGGUAACGGCCCACCAUGGCGACGAUCAGUAGCCGGUCUGAGAGGGAUGAACGGCCACAUUGGGACUGAGAUACGGCCCAGACUCCUACGGGAGGCAGCAGUGGGGAAUAUUGGGCAAUGGGGGAAACCCUGACCCAGCAACGCCGCGUGAAGGAAGAAGGCCUUCGGGUUGUAAACUUCUUUUACCAGGGACGAAGAACGUGACGGUACCUGGAGAAAAAGCAACGGCUAACUACGUGUCAGCAGCCGCGGUAAUACGUAGGUUGCAAGCGUUGUCCGGAUUUACUGGGUGUAAAGGGCGUGUAGGCGGAGAUGCAAGUUGGGAGUGAAAUCCCGGGGCUCAACCCCGGAACUGCUUUCAAAACUGCAUCCCUUGAGUAUCGGAGAGGCAAGCGGAAUUCCUAGUGUAGCGGUGAAAUGCGUAGAUAUUAGGAGGAACACCAGUGGCGAAGGCGGCUUGCUGGACGACAACUGACGCUGAGGCGCGAAAGCGUGGGGAGCAAACAGGAUUAGAUACCCUGGUAGUCCACGCUGUAAACGAUGAAUACUAGGUGUGGGAGGACUGACCCCUUCCGUGCCGCAGUUAACACAAUAAGUAUUCCACCUGGGGAGUACGACCGCAAGGUUGAAACUCAAAGGAAUUGACGGGGGCCCGCACAAGCAGUGGAUUAUGUGGUUUAAUUCGAAGCAACGCGAAGAACCUUACCAGGUCUUGACAUCCCGAUGCCCGCUCCGUAAUGGGAGCUUUUCUUCGGAACAUCGGUGACAGGUGGUGCAUGGUUGUCGUCAGCUCGUGUCGUGAGAUGUUGGGUUAAGUCCCGCAACGAGCGCAACCCCUAUUUCCAGUAGCCAGCAGUAAGAUGGGAACUCUGGAGAGACUGCCGGGGAUAACCCGGAGGAAGGUGGGGACGACGUCAAAUCAUCAUGCCCCUUAUGAUCUGGGCUACACACGUGCUACAAUGGCGUUCACAAAGGGAAGCGAGACUGUGAAGUGGAGCAAACCCCAAAAAGGACGUCUCAGUUCGGAUUGUAGUCUGCAACUCGACUACAUGAAGCUGGAAUCGCUAGUAAUCGCGAAUCAGAAUGUCGCGGUGAAUACGUUCCCGGGUCUUGCACUCACCGCCCGUCA